rnacentral:rRNA from 1 species
GACGAACGCUGGCGGCGUGCUUAACACAUGCAAGUCGAACGGAGGAUUUAUUUCGGUAAAUCCUUAGUGGCGAACGGGUGAGUAACGCGUGGGCAAUCUGCCCUUCAGAUGGGGACAACAUCCCGAAAGGGGUGCUAAUACCGAAUACGAUCACGCUGCCGCAUGGCGGUGUGAUGAAAGAUGGCCUCUAUUUAUAAGCUAUCGCUGAAGGAUGAGCCUGCGUCUGAUAGCCAGUUGGGGGGGUAACGGCCUACCAAGGCGAUGAUCAGUAGCCGGUCUGAGAGGAUGAACGGCAACAUUGGGACUGAGACACGGCCCAAACUCCUACGGGAGGCAGCAGUGGGGAAUAUUCCGCAAUGGACGAAAGUCUGACGGAGCAACGCCGCGUGAGUGAUGAAUGUUUUCGGACUGUAAAGCUCUGUUGUUUAGGACGAAAGUGCCUGUUGCGAACAGUUACAGGUAUUGACGGUACUGAACGAGGAAGCCACGGCUAACUACGUGCCAGCCGCCGCAGUAA